CCUUGUGAAAAAAGAUUGCAGAUAGGGUCCUGAAAUGAGAAGAACUUGUUUCCAUCCAUAGGUUGGAAAGAAACAUACCAGUUCACUUGAGGUCACCUGAAGCUGUGGUUCCCCAAAUGGCAACAGCCUCCUACCUGAAGCCUCUGCACCCCUUCACUGUGGGUGAAGACUUUCCGCAGCAGCACCAGAGCUUACUCCACCAAAUGGGAGUGUAAACUGGAUCUGCAGGUGGCAGGACACCAGGGACAACCCUCAAGUAAUAGAGAUGGAAAAACAAAUCCUGAGACAAGGAUUCAAGAGUAAGAAAUUUAUUUGGAAGGUGAUCCCAGGAAACGUAAGUAGGAGAAUAGAAGAGUGAGACAGAGCAAGAAGUAACUAAUAACAGGCAUGCCCCAUGAAAGGACCAUCUGUGGCCAUUUGUGAUUUGCACCCAGCGCUGGGCAGACUCCACAAACAGGGUCAUGGUGCCACUUCUGAGUUUCUCCACUCCUCUUGGACCUCCAUCCCUCCCCUGCAUUGCUCUCUCCAUCAUCACCACUCAGCCAUGGGGCAGUCAUGGACAAUCUCAUUUCUCAAGAUCAUUGUUUCUGGGUCGGCCACUGAGGAAACUCAAACUAAGACAGAGAACAGGAGGGAGUUUCAAGGACUGUGCAUACACAGGAACCAGAGAAAAGCUCACAGGAGAUGCCAGAGACUGAGGCCAGAGGCCAAGACCUUCUGCCUCCAGAGGAUGCCUACAUCUCAGACUUGGCCCCAUAGCAGAUUAACACCUUGGCAUACACGAACUACAGCCAUCCA